GCUGAACACACCCUUAUCUUCAGAGAAAGGACAUCCCUUUCGAUUCCCGAGAAACCACAAUUGCUAAGCCAGUGGGAUUUUCUGUGGUCUUUGCUUGCCUCCCUUCUUCUCUCUCUAGGAGGGAGAAGCAUGGAGGGAGGAAUUCAGGAGGAGUCUGAUGCCCUCCUGACCUGGAUCCUCCUGUCUGAGGAAGCCUGUGGUGCAGGCAGAAAGGAACUGUUGACUUGGAGAGAGAGACUGGGAGAGGCCGGAGUCAGUGGAGGAAAUGAUGAAUUCUGCAUUCAAGCUCAGUGACUCCUGUUUCGGUGAGAGCAGCAGUUUCACAGGCUUUACCUCUCUGUCGAGGAGAUUGGACGUCGUGCGCACUUCUCCAGUGUACCUGUUCAUGAUGAACAUCGGUGAGCCCGCCGGCUCCUGGGACACGAUCUUAUAGGC